rnacentral:rRNA from 1 species
CCUACGGGUGGCAGCAGUGGGGAAUAUUGCACAAUGGGGGAAACCCUGAUGCAGCGACGCCGCGUGAGUGAAGAAGUAUCUCGGUACGUAAAGCUCUAUCAGCAGGAAAGAAAAUGAUGGUACCUGACUAAGAAGCACCAGCUAACUACGUGCCAGAAGCCGCGGUAAUACGUAGGGGGAAAGCGGUAUCCGGAUUUACUGGGUGUAAAGGGGGCGUAGACGGCGCUGCAAGGCCGGAGUGAAAGCCCAUGGCUUAACCAUGGUACUGCUCUGGAAACUGUAGAGCUUGAGUGCGGGAGGGGCAGGCGGAAUUCCUAGUGUAGCGGUGAAAUGCGUAGAUAUUAGGAGGAACACCGGCGGCGAAGGCGGCCUGCUGGACCGUAACUGACGUUGAGGCUCGAAAGCGUGGAGAGCAAACAGGAUUAGAUACCCGGGUAGUC